UUGAUCGGCUUAGAAUGUAAUAACCCCUUCCACCGAGCCACGUCUCGAAAAUUAGCUGGGUCUUCGGACCUGACGAUUUGAGGAAGAGUCUCGCAUGCGAAGGUCAUGCUUUCAAAAAUUUUUGAACGAGUAAUGUGCAAGUAUGUGCAAAAUAAUCGUGUUUACGCGUCAUACGUCUCAAAGAAACUUACAAGCAAUCCAAACGAGAUACAGAAGACAAAACACAGACGAAGGCAGUUCCAAUAGCCAUGAAUUGUUGGGUGAGAGCAGAAUCGACUGUUAUCUGAAUUGUAAUUAUUUCCAGAGAAGAUACGAGAAUAUCAACUACGCUCAACUUGAUAAUUAAACAUUAGACAUCGGAAGUGAAACUUAUUUACCUUACAUCUCCUGUUCUUCCGUACAUCUUGUGAUAUGUCUUACAAGGAUAGUAUAAAUAUCUGACCAUCAACCUGAUAACGAAAUGAAAACAUUUUCCUGUUCAAUCUUAUAUUUAAAUGGACAAUCAAUCAAUGCUGUGUUUAUCGAAUGUUACUGAAUUUUUACAAAGAUUUUAUGAUGGCUACCGGAGUAUUGCUAUUGAUGAGAGGGACAUUAGGUCUCCUAACUGCAGCUAUCCUUAAGGUAUUGUAUCAGUUUAUAUAAAUCAAGAACCCAUAUAUCUUUCAACUAAUGUAAUGAAGAAUAUUAGAUAUGGGAAGCAAGAUGCUAGAUGAAGGAGAGCAGAUCGUAAAAACGUUGGAGGAAGCUGAUGCUUACGAAUUUAUUACAAAUGUUGCGAAUAAUCUGAAACCCACGUUGGUGAAGGAGGAAGCUAAUUAUCUGGUGUAUGAAAGCAGCAUGUUGCUUUUGCUAGAGCAUUAUUAUAGCUAUCAUCGACUUCAAUAUUGAAUUAUAAUUCAUGAGCGCAUUGGAUCGUUAUAACGGAAGAGUGGUUGAAGAAACGGCGGAAAAUUCUAACCAACGAAGGAACAUAGUUAGCUAUUGCUAUUGCGUGCAUUAUCGGAUUGAGAAUACCUAGGAAAAGGAAAGAGGAGAAAAAACAUUCGUUUUUCCGACGAAGUCAGGAAAGACCAACAUGGCAUUGUUUUAUUAAGCUUGGAACGGCGUCACAUAAUGUGCAGGAUAUGGAUCUUUCCGGAUGAGUUAAAGUCAAGGACGAUUUUUCGAAACGAAAUAUCUUGCCUUCGAGUCUAACACGCUGCUUUGUAGUAUCUCUAGGAAGUACUAAAAAGUUUCGGAAGAUGUUGAUAAACUUAGAUAGUACAAUAUUUUCGACCGAUAAUGUGUGAUUCAAUCUAUGUUUUCCAUGCAUGAGAUAUGUCUAUAUGUACUUCUUUUUUUCUUCUUUUUGAAUUCGAUCUGUAAUUUAAAGCGCCAUUACCACCGAUGAACUGUAACACAAAACUGAAUAUGUUAAAGUACAGUUUGUUACUUCUCAUACUGAUCAAUUUGGCAAAAUGUCAUAUAAUUUUUAUUAAGACAUAAAGGAAUUGGAAAAAAAUUAUUUUUUGCACGAAUAACAUUCCUUGCCGCAGUUUUUCUGAAGGGAAUCAGAAAUGUGUGUAUUAACAUGCACAAAAUAUUAUUAUUAUGAGAGAAUAUCAAUAAUAUAAUUAAUUGCUUUUCAUUAAAUAUUAAUCCUUUCUAGAGAGCGAUCAAUAAACAUGAAGCAAAAGCGUUUAUCUCAAUAUGUAUUCGUGCAAUAUGAAUUAUUUCAUAUGGUAGUUAAAAAGGGAUACUAAUAAUAUGUCGAUUUAAAAGGGAUUAGUCGAGAAAUUCAUUUAUUCCCAAUCGAUAUACACUGCAGUCUUGACGGCCCGUUUGACAGCGUAAUAGGAAAUAUUGAUUGACUUGCGCAGAAGCGUAUUAAAACGAAAUACGAAUAAGAGAAAAAGACGAUAUAACGAAAAAAAAAAAAAAACAGCAAAGAUGACAAAAGAUUUUUUCUGAGACCAUAUUCUUUAUUACUGCGUAAUAAAGGAAAAGGAAUGAUAGUUUCAAGAGAUAAAAAAAAAGGAAAAAUUAAUUCGUAUUGAUUGUCAUUUUUAAACAUACAAAUAAGAAAAAAGUUAAUUGUCACUCGUCAACAUCCGUUAGUUAAGUACAAAUUGUAAACUAUAAAGAAAAAAAGAAAAGAAGAAGAAAAAGAAAGAAAGGUAAGAUGUCGAAUUAAAAGAGCUUGUUAGAGAAGUUCCUUCCUCUUAAUUAAUUCCUCUUAAUUUCAUCUUUGACCUUUCUGUUUGUGAAUGCAAUUAAGGAGAGCAAAACGUAAUAACCUUGUCUGCUCGGCAACCGCUCGAACGUUAGCUAUAAGGAUGGUAAUUUAUUGCGCAAACAUUGUCCUACGAUUCACAUCACAUUAUAAAUCAUAACUUUGAAACCAACUAAUGCGUUACAAUGAUAUUCGGUUUAUAUGAAUUUGUAGACAUGGAGGAUCGUAUAUUUAUGCAAAAAAAUUAAAAUUUUGUCCUUCAUAAUUUUCUACGUUGCCUAUGAUAAAUGUUGAAUGAAUACUCCUCCCACAUUAUAAUCCCUCGCAUUACAUAUGAAAUCUCUUUUUUUGCUGGAUGUCAUUACUAUCACUUCCAUCGUUUUCUUAGCGAUUAAUAUUUUUUAUUUCUAACGUAUCCGUAUAAAUGUCUAUGUGGAAUUCCUCUUCGGUAUUACUUAUGACUCGAAACUUACCCGUCCUUGUAAAUUUUGCCACUCUCAUAAUGAAAAAGAAAUACGUAAGUAAACUGAAUGGAAGACUUAAAUUGUAUAUUACGAAAUCACGAAACGAUAUACACCAAAAGAAUAUUACUUUUCUGAUUUUCUGACUUAUUAGUUCUGGGAUCUAUCUAAGAAGAUAAUAUCAGGAAACAAAGAAAUAUGACGAAAGAUUUUCUCCACAUAGAAGUUUUUUAUUAUUGUACAAUUAAUGCUUCGAUAUCUUGAGCAAUAUGCACUUGUUUACAAGAAAAGAAGAUAAUAUUUAGAGGAAUAUGAAAGUAGUUAUAACCUCCGACGAGAAAAUUUUUUUACGACAGAUUUUACAAUAAAAAUUACAUAGUAAGAAAAUUAUAAUAUCAUUAAUAUCUAAUAAUAUUAGAACGCUACUUUUGAGUAUAACUUGAAAUUACGAAAGAAGAAAUAUUACAAAUUUCGUAUAUGUAUUUAUGAUUAAUUUCAUAGCAAAUACAAUUGAUAAUUACAAUAAUUAUAACUAUUGUAAUAAUUAUUACAACAAUUAUUCAUAAUAAUUAAUUAUAUUAUAAAUAAUACAAUUAAAAGCAUAAUUAAAAAAUUUGAACUUAUGUAACUAUAAUUAAUACAUAAUUUUAUAAUAAAUACAUAAUUAUUUAUAUAAUUUUAAUUAAAAAAAAUACAA